rnacentral:rRNA from 1 species
GAGUUUGAUCAUGGCUCAGAUUGAACGCUGGCGGCGUGCCUAACACAUGCAAGUCGAGCGGUAACAGGUGUAGCAAUACAUGCUGACGAGCGGCGGACGGGUGAGUAACGCUUGGGAAUCUGCCUGUUAGUGGGGGACAACCCGGGGAAACUCGGGCUAAUACCGCAUACGCACUACGGUGGAAAGCCGGGGACCGCAAGGCCUGGCGCUAACAGAUGAGCCCAAGUCGGAUUAGCUAGUUGGUAGGGUAACGGCCUACCAAGGCGACGAUCCGUAACUGGUCUGAGAGGACGACCAGUCACACCGGAACUGAGACACGGUCCGGACUCCUACGGGAGGCAGCAGUGGGGAAUAUUGGACAAAUGGGGGAAACCCUGAUCCAGCGACGCCGCGUGGGUGAAGAAGGCCUGCGGGUUGUAAAGCCCUUUCAGUGGGGAAGAAAAGCCUCGAGUUAAUACCUCGGGGCCUUGACGUAACCCAUAGAAGAAGCACCGGCUAACUCUGUGCCAGCCGCCGCGGU